rnacentral:rRNA from 1 species
UACAGAGGUCUCAAGCGUUGUUCGGAUUCAUUGGGCGUAAAGGGUGCGUAGGCGGCGCGGUAAGUCGGGUGUGAAAUCUCGGGGCUUAACCCCGAAACUGCAUUCGAUACUGCGGUGCUCGAGGACUGGAGAGGAGACUGGAAUUCACGGUGUAGCAGUGAAAUGCGUAGAGAUGCGGAGGAACACCGAUGGCGAAGGCAGCCCCCUGGGUCGACACUGACGCUCAGGCACGAAAGCGUGGGGAGCAAACAGG